GGGGGCUUAGGCUAGGAGGAAACUGAGCGGCUCCAGACCGCUAUUCGGGGGUGCGAAUCCCUCAGUCCCCA
rnacentral:tRNA from 1 species